rnacentral:rRNA from 17 species
GUCAAGUGACUAAGCGUGCACGGUGGAUGCCUAGGCAGUCAGAGGCGAUGAAGGACGUUGUAACCUGCGAUAAGGUUCGGGGAGCUGGUAAACGAGCUUUGAUCCGAACAUUUCCGAAUGGGGAAACCCACCUAUUUAUAGGUAUCUUUUGCGUGAAUACAUAGCGCAUUAGAGGCGAACCCGGGGAACUGAAACAUCUAAGUACCCGGAGGAAAAGAAAUCAACCGAGAUUCCGUAAGUAGCGGCGAGCGAACGCGGAUUAGCCCUUAAGCAAUAUUGUAGUUAGAAGAACACUCUGGAAAGUGUGGCCAUAGUGGGUGAUAGCCCCGUAUUUGAAGGCUUAUAUAUUGUGAAAACGAGUAGGACGGGACACGUGAUAUCCUGUCUGAAUAUGGGGGGACCAUCCUCCAAGGCUAAAUACUCCUGACUGACCGAUAGUGAACCAGUACCGUGAGGGAAAGGCGAAAAGAACCCCUGUGAGGGGAGUGAAAUAGAUCCUGAAACCGUGUACGUACAAGCAGUGGGAGCCGUUUUAGGACGGUGACUGCGUACCUUUUGUAUAAUGGGUCAGCGACUUACAUUCAGUGGCGAGGUUAACCGAAUAGGGGAGCCGUAGGGAAACCGAGUCUUAACUGGGCGAAUUAGUUGCAAGGUAUAGACCCGAAACCCGGUGAUCUAGCCAUGGGCAGGUUGAAGGUUGAGUAACAUCAACUGGAGGACCGAACCCACUAACGUUGAAAAGUUAGGGGAUGACCUGUGGCUAGGAGUGAAAGGCUAAUCAAACCGGGAGAUAGCUGGUUCUCCCCGAAAUCUAUUUAGGUAGAGCCUCGGACGAAUACUUACGGGGGUAGAGCACUGUUUGGGCUAGGGGGCCAUCCCGGCUUACCAACCCCAUGCAAACUCCGAAUACCGUAAAGUAAUAUCCGGGAGACACACGGCGGGUGCUAACGUCCGUCGUGGAAAGGGAAACAACCCAGACCGUCAGCUAAGGUCCCAAAGUUUAUGCUAAGUGGGAAACGAUGUGGGAAGGCUUAGACAGCUAGGAGGUUGGCUUAGAAGCAGCCACCCUUUAAAGAAAGCGUAAUAGCUCACUAGUCGAGUCGGCCCGCGCGGAAGAUAUAACGGGGCUAAGCAUAACACCGAAGCUACGGAUGCACUUUGUGCAUGGUAGAGGAGCGUUCUGUAAGUGGUUGAAGCGAAAGCCGUAAGGCAUCGUGGACAUAUCAGAAGUGCGAAUGCUGACAUGAGUAGCGAUAAUGGGGGUGAAAAGCCUCCACGCCGUAAGCCCAAGGUUUCCUGUUCAACGUUCAUCGGAGCAGGGUGAGUCGGCCCCUAAGGCGAGGCAGAGAUGCGUAGCUGAUGGGAAGCAGGUUAAUAUUCCUGCACCGUCGUAUGAUGCGAUGGGGGGACGGAUCGCGGAAGGUUGUCUGACUGUUGGAAUAGUCAGUUUCUGCUUCAUAGAAGGCACUUAGGCAAAUCCGGGUGCGUAAUUC